rnacentral:rRNA from 1 species
GGUCUCCGGAGGACGGCUCGUCCGCUCAGGGGUAGUCGGGACCUAAGCCGAGGAUGAAAAGCGUAGGCGAUGGAAAACAGGUUGAUAUUCCUGUACCACCUUUUUACCGUUUGAGCAAUGGGGGGACGCAGGAGGAUAGGGCAAGCGCGGUAUUGGAUAUCCGCGUCCAAGCAGUUAGGCUGGGAAAUAGGCAAAUCCGUUUCCCAUAAGGCUGAGCUGUGAUGGCGAGCGAAAUAUAGUAGCGAAGUUCCUGAUUCCACACUGCCAAGAAAAGCCUCUAGCCAGGAGAAGGUGCCCGUACCGCAAACCGACACAGGUAGGCGAGGAGAGAAUCCUAAGGUGAGCGAGAGAACUCUCGUUAAGGAACUCGGCAAAAUGACCCCGUAACUUCGGGAGAAGGGGUGCUCUGUUAGGGUGCAAGCCCGAGAGAGCCGCAGUGAAUAGGCCCAGGCGACUGUUUAGCAAAAACACAGGUCUCUGCGAAGCCGUAAGGCGAAGUAUAGGGGCUGACGCCUGCCCGGUGCUGGAAGGUUAAGAGGAGCGCUUAGCGUAAGCGAAGGUGCGAAUUGAAGCCCCAGUAAACGGCGGCCGUAACUAUAACGGUCCUAAGGUAGCGAAAUUCCUUGUCGGGUAAGUUCCGACCCGCACGAAAGGCGCAACGAUCUGGGCACUGUCUCAACGAGAGACUCGGUGAAAUUAUAGUACCUGUGAAGAUGCAGGUUACCCGCGACAGGACGGAAAGACCCCGUGGAGCUUUACUGCAGCCUGAUAUUGAAUGUUGGUACAGCUUGUA